AUGGGGCGCAGCAGGCGAGAAAACUUUGCAAUGUGCGAAAGCACGACAAGGUUAAUCCGAGUGGUUUCUGCUAAAGGAACCUUUUGUUAGUCCUAGAAACACUAACGAAUAAGGGGUGGGCAAGUUCUGGUGUCAGCCGCCGCGGUAAAACCAGCACCUCAAGCGGUCAGGAUGAUUAUUGGGCCUAAAGCAUCCGUAGCCGGCUCUGUAAGUUUUCGGUUAAAUCUGUACGCUCAACGUACAGGCUGCCGGGAAUACUGCAGAGCUAGGGAGUGGGAGAGGUAGACGGUACUCGGUAGGAAGGGGUAAAAUCCUUUGAUCUAUUGAUGACCACCUGUGGCGAAGGCGGUCUACCAGAACACGUCCGACGGUGAGGGAUGAAAGCUGGGGGAGCAAGCCGGAUUAGAUACCCGGGUAGUCCCAGCUGUAAACUAUGCAAACUCAGUGAUGCAUUGGCUUGUGGCCAAUGCAGUGCUGCAGGGAAGCCGUUAAGUUUGCCGCCUGGGAAGUACGUACGCAAGUAUGAAACUUAAAGGAAUUGGCGGGGGAGCACCACAAGGGGUGAAGCCUGCGGUUCAAUUGGAGUCAACGCCAGAAAUCUUACCCGGAGAGACAGCAGAAUGAAGGUCAAGCUGAAGACUUUACCAGACAAGCUGAGAGGUGGUGCAUGGCCGUCGCCAGCUCGUGCCGUGAGAUGUCCUGUUAAGUCAGGUAACGAGCGAGAUCCCUGCCUCUAGUUGCCACCAUUACUCUCAGGAGUAGUGGGGCGAAUUAGCGGGGCCGCCGCAGUUAAUGCGGAGGAAGGAAGGGGCCACGGCAGGUCAGUAUGCCCCGAAUCCCCCGGGCAACACGCGGGCUACAAUGCGCGGGACAGAGGGCUGCGACCCCGAGAGGGGAAGCCGAUCCCUAAACCUGCGCCUAGUUCGGAUCGAGGGCUGCAACUCGCCCUCGUGAAGCUGGAAUCCCUAGUAAUCGCGUGUCACUAUCGCGCGGUGAAUACGUCCCUGCUCCUUGCACACACCGCCCGUCAAGCCAUCCGAGUGGGAUUUGGAUGAGGCUUACUCGACAUGAGUGGGUCAAAUCCGGGUUCUGCAAGGAGGGCUAAGUCG
rnacentral:rRNA from 1 species